UUUACCUUUGCUUAAAUUUUUCGUUCGCUUUCAUCAUUAUUAUACCUCUUCGUCUCUUUCUCUCAAACUCUUUGUCGACUUCGCCCUAGAUCCAUUUCUCUCCUCUCUGCGCUGUUGCACCCCUCAAUCCAAGGUUGUGAAGUGUUUUGUGCAUUUGCUGGACAUGACACUUGAGUGGUUUGUAAUUGUUGAUAGACUAUAAGGGAAAUUUAGAAGAAUAAAGUUGAAAGAUUGUGUACUGCUCCAUCAGUUGAAAGGCAAUCCCCUCCAUUACUUUUUCAAUUGAAAGUUAGGCUUUUUCCUUUCUCAAUGGUGAAUUAUUAGUUUACAUUAUUAUAAAUACUUUCUGCAUGAUAGGAAGCCAUGUAGUAUGUGUGUCUUCAAUAAUUGAAAUUAGAGUUUAAUAUUAUAUUAUGAGUGAUUUCAAUUGCUUUUAAUUGUAGGUUUUACCAUCACUGCCACAAUUAGGAAGGAGUAUGUUGAGUUAUGGUGAAAGGGAAGUAUAUAUAAAUUUCAAUCUCUAUAUUCAGGAGCAUUUUUAAUGUGUUGAAGUAGCACUACAUUGACUAUAUAUAGAGUGUGACUUCAAUUGGCUGGUGGUGGUAAUUUCUUUUUGCAAUUUAACUCUCUUAGAAGAUAAGCAAACUAACAUCAAAGUUAAAAUGAGUUAAAAACCAUUAGAUUAACAUAUGAAAUAUUAAUAUUCAUUAUUAAUUGUAACUAAUUUCUUGUUUUUUAUCUUUUGUUUUUUUAGCAGAUGAACUUGAAAAUGUAUUGACAAAGAUUUUUCUCAAAUUUUAGUCAAUGACAAUUGAUGCUUUCUAAGUACUGAGAAGAUUGUGCAGGUUUAUAUCUCUUCACCAAUUAAAUUUAGUUUUUUCAUUUAAAUUCAACAAUGUCAUGGAGGUAAUUCACCAAUUAAAUUGAUGCUUUCUAAGUACUGAGAAGAUUGUGCAAUUUAUGGAGGUAAAAAUUUGUUGACAUUAUAAGUUUUUUGGUGAUAAUGUCUUAGAAUUUAGUGAUGAGAUGUAGAUAGUUACUUAUGAUUGAGUUCUGCUCUGUUUAACACAGGCAUCAUGGAUUGCAGUAAGUCUUGUAUCAUAAACUAUGAGUACAAAUUAUUAGUAUUUUUAUGGUAACUAUUUUGAUAUAAAAUUGUAUUGAGAAGGCUUAUAUUUAAUCAUAUUGUGUUUAGUGAAAAUGUUUAGUUUAUUUUUCAAAUGUCUUUUUUUAAAAUUGACUUUCUGUUUUGUUUCUUAAAGAAAAUCUAUGUCAACAUGUAUUGUUACAUUUUCAUAUCAAUGAAAAGACUAUUUGGUUUUAUUACCUUAGUUUGCACUUCCACGAUUAUUAGGAAUGCAAAUAUUUAACGUAAUGCAAUCACACUACUUAUGUCUAGUUAUAUCGGAAGUUCUUUGAUAUUAUUAUUUAUUUGUUAAUCUAGCUAAUCUCAUUUAGUAUUUCUAUGAUCUUGCAGGCUCAUGAUACAUGUUUAAAAUUGCAGGAUCAGUCUUACAAAGGUAAACUCACACAUUGCGAAGCAAUCUAAGCAUUCCAAAAGUACUUUGAAAUUGUGUACAAGCCUACCCAUAUUCUUCGAAUGGUUUGUGAUGCAGCUCCUAUUCUCAAAGAAAAGUCGAAAAAAAAAAUUCUAAAAGAAAAACUCUCAAAGCUGUAAAACCCGAGUUUAGAUAUGACUUGGCUUUUGAGCUCAAACCACCUCGAUUCCCAUGAUUACCAAGUGUAGAUUUUGCUUUUUUAUUUUUCCCCCUUACCCAAAUUGGUUUGUAUAUGGGGAUCUCUUUAAAGAUCUGACAAAUGAUCGACAAAAACCUUCUAAAAGAGUAGUAGCAACCAAACAUACCUUAGACAGUUUCAAAGGCUUUCUUCACUUCGACUUGGAUGCAGUGAGGAUUACCUCACCAAUGGGUCAAUGUGUGGAAUGUUUGGAUUUCUUGGUUUUACAACCUUUCAACCGACUAAUCUUUAAUAAAGUGCAUGUUUCGACCAACUAUUUUUCUUUUCAGCCAUCGAAAGGAAAACAUCACGAAAAGACAAACCUGCAGCUAAAAUUGCCUCUAGCAUGACCACUUCCUCGAGUCAAGGAAUUCUGG